rnacentral:rRNA from 1 species
CCUACGGGAGGCAGCAGUGGGGAAUAUUGGGCAAUGGGCGCAAGCCUGACCCAGCAACGCCGCGUGAAGGAAGAAGGCUUUCGGGUUGUAAACUUCUUUUCUCAGGGACGAAGCAAGUGACGGUACCUGAGGAAUAAGCCACGGCUAACUACUUGCCAGCAGCCGCGCUAAUACGUAGGUGGCAAGCGUUAUCCGGUUUUACUGGGGGUAAAGGGCGUGUAGCGGGAAAGCAAGUCAGAUGUGAAAACCAUGGGCUCAACCUGUGGCCUGCAUUUGAAACUGUUUUUCUUGAGUGCAGGAGAGGUAAGUGGAAUUCCUAGUGUAGCGGUGAAAUGCGUAGAUAUUAGGAGGAACACCAGUGGCGAAGGCGGAUUACUGGACGACAACUGACGGUGAGGCGCGAAAGCGUGGGGAGCAAACAGGAUUAGAUACCCUUGUAGUC